UCUGAUCUGAAACCUGAAGAAUAAUGGGAAGAGCCCCUUGCUGUGAGAAAGUGGGCAUAAAGAGAGGGAGGUGGACGGCUGAAGAGAUGAAAUCUUGACCAAGUACAUUCAAGCCAACGGAGAAGGUUCCUGGAGGUCACUACCAAAGAACGCAGGACUACUUAGAUGUGGGAAGAGUUGCAGAUUGAGAUGGAUCAACUACUUGAGGUCUGACUUGAAGCCACACCCUUGGAUCAACUAAUUUAUUUAUAAUCUGUAUAAUCUCAAUAUAGUAGUUUAUAUGCAAGAGAGCAUGAAAAGAAAUUAUACUGAU